rnacentral:rRNA from 67 species
CUGCGGAAGGAUCAUUGU